GACGAACGCUGGCGGCGUGCUUAACACAUGCAAGUCGAACGGAAAGGCCCUGCUUUUGUGGGGUGCUCGAGUGGCGAACGGGUGAGUAACACGUGAGUAACCUGCCCUUGACUUUGGGAUAACUUCAGGAAACUGGGGCUAAUACCGGAUAGGAGCUCCUGCUGCAUGGUGGGGGUUGGAAAGUUUCGGCGGUUGGGGAUGGACUCGCGGCUUAUCAGCUUGUUGGUGGGGUAGUGGCUUACCAAGGCUUUGACGGGUAGCCGGCCUGGGAGGGUGACCGGCCACAUUGGGACUGAGAUACGGCCCAGACUCCUACGGGAGGCAGCAGUGGGGAAUAUUGCACUAUGGGCGGAAGCCUGAUGCAGCAACGCCGCGUGCGGGAUGACGGCCUUCGGGUUGUAAACCGCUUUCGCCUGUGACGAAGCGUGAGUGACGGUAAUGGGUAAAGAAGCACCGGCUAACUACGUG
rnacentral:rRNA from 1 species